UUCAAGGUUUCAAAGCUACACAGCUUUGAUAUUUCUUCAACAACUCCUUGUCUAAUUUCCUCCUCCGAGAAAGGGUAGCCCAAGAAAUCAGCCAGCGUCUUCAAGUUGGAAGCAAUAUCCUCCUUCAAAUCUUCAUAUUUCAAAAAUAAGACUUUUUCAGGAUGCUCCAAACUCAUCUUCCAAUACCCUAAAACAUGUUCCCAAAAUGGACCAAAGGCAUGAGUUCCUUUACAAAACCUGUCAAAAGCUUCCUCCAUUGAAAAUAUUGUUAGGAUAGUUUUGAAUUGUGAUUUAAUUAGGAUUGUUUAUUUCUAAUUAAAUUAGUUAUACCUUAUAAAUAGUCUUUAAAUUUAGUUAGAUUAGAAUAACAAUUUCUAAUUCUAUUAGGAUAAGAUUCCUAAUUAUAUUAGGAUAAAGUUAUUGUAUUUGAUACUAUAAAAAGACCCUAUGGGUUAAAGAAUAAUAAUCACCUAGAUUUAGAGAGAGUGAUUUAGGUGUACGUGGGAUAAGGGUUAUGAGUUUGAGACUGUUCUUGUAAUCUCCUGAUUUUCUCUUAGUGGAUUUUUCUCUGUUGUUGUGCCCGUGGACGUAGGUCAUCAAAAGACCGAACCACGCAAAUUCUUGUGUUCUUGUGGGUGGGCUUGAUUUCUUUCUUUCUUUAUUCUUUUGAUUGGGUUAGAUCUUGGGCACUUCUUUAGAGACAAUUCCGCAAUUUCCCAACAAACUGGUAUCAGAGCUUCAAGGUCUUGGAUCAAUCUGAAUCUCGCUAUGGCAACUUCGUCGACCAAGUAUGAGAUUGAAAAGUUUAAUGGAAGAAACGAUUUCAGCCUGUGGCGUGUUAAGAUGCGCGCAUUGCUAGUGCAACAAGGACUGUUGAAGGCACUGAAGGGAAAAGAGCAUCUUCCCUCGAAUUUAUCUGAUGGUGAGAAAGAUGACCUUAUGGAAAAAGCACAUAGUGCUAUUCUCCUUGCUUUGUCUGAUGAGGUGCUAAGAGAAGUCACGGAUGAAGAAUCUGCUGCUGCAGUGUGGUUUAAACUCGAAAGUAUUUAUAUGACCAAGUCCCUGACGAAUCGGCUUUAUAUGAAGCAACGAUUGUAUACUCUCAAGAUGAGUGAAGGUACGUCCGUUAAUACCCACAUUGAUGAAUUUAAUAGAGUUAUUCUUGAUUUAAAGAAUAUCGAUGUUAAAAUUGAGGAUGAGGACCUAGCCCUAAUUCUUUUAUGUUCUUUGCCUCCAUCGUAUGAAAAUUUCGUGGAUACUAUGCUUUACGGCCGAGACACUCUCACUUUCGAGGAUGUAAGGGCAUCUUUAAAUUCCAAGGAAUUAAAGAAGAAAGUUGGUGGUAUUCGGAAUGAAAAUCAAGCAGAAGGUUUGGUUGUAAAUAGAGGUAGAGGUAAAGAGAAAGGCUUAGACAGAAAAGGUAAAUCUAGAGCAAAAGGGAAAACUUGCUGGAAUUGUGGUCAGAAAGGGCAUUUUCGUCAAGACUGUAUCAAAUUCAAGGAUGAUGAAAAGUUUAAUAAGUCUGAGAAUACUGCAAACGUGGUUGGAGAUGACUUUGAUACUUUUGAGGAAACUGAUAAUGUUCUUGCAAUUACUAAUUGUAACCUGAUGGAUACAUGGAUCUUGGAUUCGGCUUGUUGCUUUCAUAUAUGUCCUAGGCGUGAUUGGUUUACAACUUAUCAAUCUGUUAAUAUGGGCACUGUACAAUUAGGAGAUGAUUUCUCUCUCUCAGUUGUUGGAAUUGGCACAAUUAGAAUCAAGAUGUUUGAUGGUAUGGUAAGAACACUUGAGGUAAAACAUGUCCCUGACAUGAAAAAGAAUUUAAUAUCCUUGAGUUUGUUAGAUAAGAAGGGCUACAAAUAUAGUGGCCAAGAUGGUGUCUUGAAUGUAUCUAAAGGAGCCUUAACUAUCAUGAAGGGCAAGUUAUCCGGUGACCUUUAUUGUCUAGUGGGAAACACGGUCAUUGAAACUGUUUCUGUGGUCUCAUCUAAUGAUCCUGAAGAUGAUGUAACACGUUUAUGGAAUAUGAGAUUUGGUCAUAUGAGCGAGAGAGGGAUUAGAAAACUAAGUAAGCAUAGUUUGCUGUGUGGUCAAAAGAGUGGAAAGCUAGAUUUCUGUGAGCAACAUAGAGUGAAAUUUAGCACUAAAACUCAUCAAACCAGGGGUACAGUAAACUACAUCUAUUUAGAUUUGUGGGAUCCUUCUCCGGUGGUAUCAAAAGGUGGAUCAUUAUACAUGUGGAUCUUUAUUGAUGAUUUUUCAAGAAAGGUGUGGACGUAUCUUCUAAAGGCUAUGAGUGAAGUGUUAACCACCUUUUUGCAUUGGAAGGUAUUGAUCGAGAAGCAGACUAAGAAAAGGAUCGAGAGCUUUCGAACAAACAAAGGUUUGAAAUUUUGCAAAGGUGAGUUUGGUCUAUUCUACAAGAAUGAGAAAAUCGUUAGACAUCGCACUGUCGACAAAACACCAUAUCAAAACGAUAUUGUAGAAUUGAUGAAGAAAACACUUUUGGAGAGAGCAAAAUACGUGUUCUCAAAUGUUGGCCUAACCAAAGUAUUUUGGACAGAAGCUAUCAACAAGGCUUGUUACUUGGUAAAUCGGUCUCCAUCAACUGCAAUUGAAUUUAAGACUCCCAAGGAAGUUUGGUCUGGUAAGCCUGCUGAUUAUUUUAUAUUGAGAGUAUUUGGUUGUCCUGUUCAUGUUCAUGUGAGUGAUGGUAAACUUGAGUUGAGGGCGACAGAGUGCAUAUUCCUAGGCUAUGCAUAUGGGGUGAAGGGUUAUUGGUUGUGGUGUACUGAUUGUAAGUUCCCCAAGUUUAUGGUGAGUCGGGAUGUUACCUUUGACAAGUCUGCAUUACUUUGUGGGAUAAAGUCUAGAAUUGCAAACACAUCAGACCAAGAAGUUGGCAAGCAGGUGGAGCUUGAAAUCAAUGCUCUUGUGACAGUGCGAGAUGAUAGUGAAAUCCAGAAAGAAUUGCAAGAGGUACAAGAAUUGGUAUCUCAACGAAGCAUUACUUGUAUUGAUGGUGAUUUUGAUUCUUAUGUUUUAUUUGUGGAAGUAGAGAUUGAAGAGCCUUACUUUUAUCAUGAGAAAAUUAUAUAUGUCGAGUCUUCUAAGAAGAUUGAGUCUCUACACUGGGAUCAAACAUGGGAGCUUGUGAAAACACCUAAAGUUACUAUUGAAGUUGGCUUAGUGUGUGAAGGAGGUGCAAACAUUAGUCGUAAUGUGGUUGGCUUCUCCAAAUCAGAUUUUGCUGGUGAUCUAGAUAGUAGAAGAUCUCAAACGGGGUAUGUGUUCACUCUCUCAGGAUCUGCAAUCAGUUGGAAAGCAGUUCUUCAAUCAACCUUUGCUUUGUCUACAACUGAAGCUGAAUAUAUGGCUGUGACCGAGGCAGUGAAGGAGGCUUUGUGGCUUAAAGGCUUGGUUAGUGAUCUUGGUUUUGAACAAACACAAACAGUUGUGUUUUGUGAUAGUCAAAGUGCUAUACAUUUGACUAAAAAUCAGAUGUUUCAUGAGAGAACCAAACACAUCCAAGUCAAGUGUAACUUCGUUCGAGAGAUUAUUUCUAAAGGUGAGAUUGUAGUAAAGAAAAUAGCUACAGAUGAAAAUCCGGCAGAUAUGCUAACUAAGUCGGUUUCUGGGAUAAAGUUCAAGCAUUGCUUGGACUUGAUCUGUGUUCGUAGUGCUUGAGGCCCUUUAGAGCAUUAGUGGUGUCGGCAGAGAAUGGUUCGUAAGGUGGCUAAUUCAAGCCUAAGGUGGAGAUUUGUUAGGAUAGUCUUGAAUUGUGAUUUUAUUAGGAUUGUUUAAUUCUAAUUAAAUUAGUAUACCUUAUAAAAUAGUUUUUAAAUCUAGUUAGAUUAGAAUAACAAUUCCUAAUUCUAUUAGGAUAAGAUUCCUAAUUAAAUUAGGAUAAGGUUAUUGUAUUUGAUACUAUAAAAGGACUCUAUGGGUUAAAGAAUAAUAUCACCUAGAUGUAGAGAGAGUGAUUUUAAGUGUACGUGGGAUAAGGGUUAUGAGUUUGAGACUGUUCUUGUAAUCUCCUGAUUUUUCUCUUAGUGAAUUUUUCUCUUUUGUUGUGCCCGUGGACGUAGGUCAUAAAAAGACCGAACCACGUAAAUUCCUGUGUUCUUGUGGGUGUGCUUGAUUUCUUUCUUUCUUUAUUCUAUUGAUUGGGUUAGAUCUUGGGCAAUUCUUUAGAGACAAUUCCGCAAUUUCCCAACAAAAAAGGUUUGAAAUCUUCAUUUCGGGGAAAAUUAUUCACAACAUAGAGCCAAUCCGAGAUGAAUUGGUCGAGAGGGUUCCUGCAAAGAUAAACAAUGCGACAAUUGGAUUUUAGGAUGGAACCAGGCAAUGUACCAUAGGGUGUGUGAGUUGCAAAAAUUCUUGGGCUAGGAAAAUUUCCAUUUUCAAGAUCAGGAGUUUGGUUUUUCGAGUAAAUGCUGACCUCAAUGAAAGGCACAAGGUCAUGGGGGUUUGUUGUGAGCAAAGGGCUUUGCGUGUGUGGGAAUUGCUUGCGGUUCACAAUGGAGAAGAUGAGAGCCUUCAACCAUGUGGUGCCUGAUUUGGGCGUAGUGAUUAAAAAGAUAUCAGUAUCAUGCGCUUUGAAGUGGCUUUGAAAUGAAAUGAUUGCCUUGGCCGCAACCAAAGGGUACCAAAAGCCUUGGUAUUGGUAGAGAGUAUAGCCAACCCAGUUUUUCUCUUGUGGAAGUGUUUGAACCAAUUCUUCCAUUAGCUUGUCUCCUUCGGAGGAAAUGUUUUUGGAUGCAGUUUUAUCAUCCAUAAGAGCAAGCAAAUUGAAUGAAUGUUUGCUGAGAAGAAAGAUAGGGAGACCGGUACAUGUGUUAAUGAUACUACAAUUAUGAAAUAUACAAAAGCUGUCAAAUGAUGCAUAACCUCUUGUAUUUCAUUUUCUUUCUUUCUAUGUCCCACUUACAAUCUUCAAUAAUUUUAGUAGGUAAAAUAACCUAUUCAACCAUAACUUUCAUACUUUCGUCAAAUAAAUUUGCAAAAAAAACAUAUUCGUUCAAAGUAAACUCAAUAAGACUCUUAAUUUAAUUUUAAUAAUCAUAUUUCUCUCUCAACUUUGCACUGUUCUCUCCUUUAAUUCAAUCUUACCAAAAAUGGUGUUUCUUUUGUGGAGCCAUGAACAUCCACUAAUUUCACAAACAAACCUAAUUUUUUCUAAACCAAACACAGAAAAAAAUAAAGGCUUUUCAAGAAAUACAUUUUCCUUUGCAGGUAACCUUUGAAUCAAACCCCAAAAGUCCAAAUUACAAUAUGUGCAGCAGAUGAACCCGAUAUAGGUGAGUGGUCACUGAUCAGCCAGCCUGUAUGACAAUCAAAUGAGGGAACUUGAAUGUAGGGGUGUACUAAUGGGACAACUCUGAGCCAUGCAUUCUGAGAUGGAAAGUGAAAGCACGAGUACCUAGCGUGACUAAAUAGUCUUGCUUUGGACCAUGAAUCUACCUUGAUAAAUGCUUACCAUAACACAGUCCACAGGUCAAGUUAUCGUCCCAAACUCGUGGUUCGCCCUUAUUCACGUCGGAUUUGAUUGGAUUAUUUAUUAAUAAAAUAAUAUAUUUUAAUUUAAUUUAAUUAAAAUUAUAUAAAAAUAUUAAUUUUUUAUUUUAAUGAAAAAUUAAUAUGUAAAUGAGCAGGUUGAAGAAGAAAUUUAAUUAAUUACAAUAAUUAAGAAAUAAUUUAUUUAUAUUUAUUAUCAUUGCUAUAUGUAUUUAGUAUCAAUAAAUUUGUCAAUCUUAUAAUAAUCAAAAUUUUAAAAUAUAAAAAAGUAAGUAAAGUAUUAAAUCGCCCCUAGAAUUUUUGAAGAUUUUUAUCUAUUAUAUAUAUUUUUAAUGUCUCUCUUGAUAACUUUAUUAUAUAGAGUUAUUUUAACAUAUUUUGAGGGUUUAAAUAGAUAGAUCUUUGAGAUUUUGGGUUUGGAUUGUAACAUUUUUUGUGUUUUUCUAGUUUAAGUUUGAUUAGCUAAUUUAAGUUAUUUUAGUUUAAUUUUAUGUUAUUUUAUUUUAAAUUACUUUAAGAAUAGUUAUUGCUAAUUUCUCUUAUUGCUUUUAUAGGAAAUUUGAUGAAAAUCAAUACAAGUAUGGUGCUGGCUUCAUUCGUAUUUAUUUCGGUAUUUUGACCAUAUCUCUUUCUACAAAACUCCAAAUGAGGUGAUUCUUGGAACGCUAGAAUAAGUCGGAGCACUGCAACAGUACGCAUGGACUGAAUAUGAUGCAGUAUUUGGAGCAUAUCUUUCAAUCCAAAAGUCCAAUUGACAUGAUUCUUAAUCCAUUGGAAAGUUAAAAGAUAGAGUUACAACUGUUAUGCUUACCACUUUUUUCAAUUCGAAGCAGAUUAGGGUAAAAAUCACGUUCGAAAUUGAUAAACCGCUACAGCACUGGGAGAACAAGGCUGCAGCGCUGGUGAAAGGACGCCCACCAUACAAUUUUCCCGAGAGCCCAGCGCUGCAGCACUAUUGUAGCAAAAAAAAACCAACGCCACGACGCUGGGCAAUUUUUCAAAAAUAAAAAUUUGACGAGAUUUUGAAAAUUAAGUUACUUGGAGCCUAUUUAAGAGAUCUUUUUUCAAGGUUUUAAGGGAAGGCAACAAGCAACUAUUCUGGAGAUUUAAAGUCAAUAACAAAGUAAGAAAACAAGAGAAUUGAAGGGAGAAUCAAGAUCACAAAGUUUCAGUUAUUAGUUUCCUCUCUUUACUUUCGUGUUUUUCUUAUUUUCUUUGACUUGAAUUAAUGGUUAAUUUUCUUUAGAUGAAGUUUUUAUUAGAUAUUAUGAUCUAAAUUUAUUUUUUUAAGACUGCAAUUGAACUCAUAUGUAAUCUAAACUUUUAAUCUCUUUCUUGCUUAUUUUUAAUGGGAUUUGAAUUGUUUGUUUCAAUUUGGUUUUAAUGUUUUUAAUUGCUUGAUCACUAAUUAAAUUGAUUUAGGAACCUAAACAAAUUUGGGAGACGGAGUUUAGUGUCGUCUAAAAUUGAGAUAGCAUAUAAUCAUAUUAAUUUAUUUGCAUAUAGGAAAGGGAUAUACUUAUAGGCCUUAUGUAGCCAAAUUAGAGCCUGAACUUAAUGAGUCUGUUUUAACUUCAAUUCACAUAGGGAUAUAGUGUCUUUGUUAAAAUAGAUAUUUUUAUAAGAUGAGUCGAGAGACCCUUAUAAAUAAUUGGGGACUCUAGGUUAGUAAUUUAACCCAUUGAAAUAAGUUAAGAAAGAGAGUUACGAUUUAGAUAAAGUGUGAGUGAUAUUGUAUAUUUUGAUUUGAUUUUUACCCAACUAUCUUGUCGCUUUGAUUUCUAUUUUUAGUAUAAAUUUUGGUUAAUUAAUUUAGUUAUUUGAAUUUGAUUGUUUGGAUAAGAUUAAAUUGUUCUAAUUUUAGUACUUAGUAAAAUUUUAGAUCAAUUCUCUGUGGGAUCGAUAUUCAGCUUGCUUAUAUACUAUCUAUUCGAUAUGUAUACUUAUAUAAUAGAAUUGUAACUAACAUCCUUCCAAAAUUUUUAAAUUUUUUAUAUAUUAUAUAUUUUUUUCCUUUAAUGACCCCUUCAAAAUAAUUUUUAUUUAAUAAUUAUUAUAAAUAAAAAAUAAUAAAAUCAUCCUACAAACCCUACUAACCUUUAUCUUAAUUUAAGUUUCUACAUACUUUUUUCUCUCUCUCUUCUCGUAUCUUUUGUCCUUUUAUGUUCCAUGAUUUUAGUCUUUAAAAAUUAAAUACUUAUUAUGUAAUUCUCAAAUAUAAGUUAUAAUGUUACACUACUUAUUGUUGCUUAAAUCAAUGUAUCAUUUUUUUAUUAAUCUUGAUUAUAUAAGAGGAAAUUAUAUUGAAUAUAUAUAUUUAUGUGCUUUACAUUUUAUAUUUUGUCACGACCCAAAUCGGGGAUUCAUGAUCAACACGAGUCUAGAGGCAAAGCCCGUGAGGCCUUAGAUCAAAAUCAUCUAUCAUUAGCCAAAGGAUUCCACACAAAGUAUUUUCAUAGCAUAACUAAACUCAAAUACAAAUAUUUGACCUUGGCAUAUCAUUCAUACUCCAUAUUUAAUACAUUAUUCAUAAGAUAUUCAUUGGCCAUUAAGGCAGGUUCAUAUUUACAACCCUUAGACAAAUAUAAAUGGCAUGUUGUUCCCACAUACAUCACAAUUAUACUGAGUACGGAAGCUUGCAAUAGACUUAGCAAAGUGACCAAAUGGGAUGGGGACCUAUCGGAUGUCAAAAUUGAUCUGUCAAUGGACGACCCUUGUCACGCAAUCCUGUGGCUUAUUUAUCUACACAUGGUAUAGUAAAUGGGUGAGUCAUCUAAUACUUAGUGAGGGGAGCAGAUAAAUAAAACAUAUAUGAUAUACAUAUAUAUACACACAUAUAGCAUUAUCAAUGCUAACAAAAUGCUCUAACAAGAAUCUCCAAUAUUAGGGGCAUAUCAGUCAUCCCUAUGAAAUCUCCACAAGUAGUACAUAUUAACUAGGCUUAUCCUUGAAGCCAUUCAAAGUUGCACUCCAUAGGCACACUUUAGUUUUCGAAGUGUUAUAUCAAAUCAAGUCUAUCUUUGCCUCUCUGAGGCUAUGUACAUCAUCCGUGAUUUAAAUCAAAUCUUAGAGUGGUCUUCUCUGGACAUAAAUAAAUCACGCAUGGUGGCCAAUCGACUAAGUCAAACCCUCAUGCGAAGUAGUUUUGAUGGAUGGCAUCAAAUCAACUCAUGCGUGUGUUGAAGCAAUCAGGCGAAGUACACAAUCAUCAUCCGAAGUAAUUGUCGUUAUGUGAGACAUCAAAAUUCCAGGAGUGGCCACCAAUCUUUUUUAUAUUUAUAUAUGAUUGGUCACUUAUUAAAUUUGUCUUAUUUGACGAGGUUCUAAAUCGAUUUUAGGUUCGUCUAAAGAACAAAACUUGGUCUAUGAAUUUGAGAAUUGGGUUCGGGAGUAUAGUUAUGUAUGGGGAAAGAUUAACACUCCUAUAACUCUCGUUCAACAAACGAUAUCAAAUAAUCAUUUGUUAUAAUAUUUUAACCUUAUUUUUAGUUUUAUUCUUGUGUUUUCUUAAUCACUGUUUAUUUAUUUUUUAAUCUUAUUUUAAUUUUUUUGACUACAAACGAAUCUUUUUAUUGAAGAAUAUUUCCCUGAGUCCUUCCAUCUUUCUAGUAAAAUACAAAAGAUAUCUUUUCACCUAGAGAAUUUGUUGAAGAAACUUAUCUUUUCAAAUUUUUCAAAAAAAACCCCAUCAUCGGGAUCAUCAUCCAAACUUUAUUUCAAAGAUAAAAAUAUGCAUGAUGAAUAUGAAAUGCAGGGAUGAUGAAUCUUAUGGAUUCCAAAUUAUUACAUAUGAAUGAUGAUCGCUUAUUGAGGGCAUUUCCCUGGUUUUCCCAUCUUUUUGGUAAAAUCUAGGAUUGCCCUAUCACCUAGAGAAUUCCUUGAGAAACUUAUCUUUUGAAAUUUUACAAGGAAAUCUCAUCAUUGGGAUCACUGUUCAUAGGUACGUGUGUCAAUGGAGUGCAAGUUCAUAAUUAAUUAUUACACUUGACAACCUUUUAUCAAUGCCAUUUCUAGGAUCCUCCCAUCAUUUUGAUGAAAUUCGAAAAUAUCAUCUCACCUAGAGAAUUCUCCAAUGAAACUUAUCCUUCCAAGCUUCUUAGAAAAAUCACAUCAUCGGGAUUGGCAAUCGUGUACAGAAUAAGGUUUGUCGAGCUUGAUGCAUAUUAUAAUUUGUUAAAUACAAAUCAAAGUCUUGUAUUGAUAGCAUUUUCCGGAUCCUCCCAUCAUUUUGGUAAAAUUUAGGACCGAAUUCUCACUUAGAGAAUUUCUUAGGAAAGCUUAUCCUUACAAACUUCCUCAAAAAGAUCUCAUCAUCGGAACCUUGAUUUGCAUGCAGGAUAUAAAAUCAAAAUGAAUAGAAUGACAAUUUAAAAAAAAUGUAAUUAUGAUGGCGCAUAAUAAUCUAGCUAUUAUUUUUACUAUUCCUUUUUGGCAAAGUUAAAAUAUUAUUUUCUAUUAUUAUAUUAUUAUUCUAUUUUUUACUUAUUAUUAUUUUUUACAUUAUCCUGUGUGUUUCCAAUAGUGAUGAAUAAAACCUAAAUAUCCUAUCAUGUUAUUUUAUAAAAGUAUUAAUAUUCAACAUUUUUUAGGCAUCAAAAUAAUUUAUAUAUAUAUCUUUCGCUAAACUAUAUCUAUUUAUUUAUUUAUUUACUUUUUUUUGCAUAUCCAUAUUAUUUUAACACACAUUAUUUAAUGUGAUUAACUACCGUAUUUUGUUCAUAUAUUUUUUAGAAAAUAAAAAUAUUAUUGCAUGAUAACUAAACAAACAAACAAAAAUCAAGGAGAAAACAUAAACAAACGAAAACCAAGCCCAAUAGCAAGUCAAACCAAUAUUCAAAGGGAGGUCCAUUACGUUAUGUUGUUUCAAUUCUUUUCAGGGCUUGGCUUUCGGUUUGUACCCAAAGAAAAACUUCCGUGCACCACAACGAAGUCCAGUAAGCCAAACUAGAUGGAAAUAUUUCAUUAGGUUGUCGAAUACUUUCAACUGUGUCCAUUCCGCGUAUAGAGAAAUGUUUCUUAAUUUUCAGACACUAGAAGCAGCCCCAAGUGUUUCUCUUUGGUGCUUGUUUUAUGACUCAUAUAUUUGACAAAGUUAACGUAUAUACCCUCAAUAUAGCCAUUUAAAUCUUGUGUGUCAAUCUGCCUGUAUUUCCAUUACAGCAGCCAGCCUCUUCCACUUUUAAAUGAGGAAUCUUGAAUGUGAAAGUGUAGUAAUGAGACAACUCCGGCUCAUAUAUUCUGACAUGAAAAGUGAAAGUAGGAGUAACUAAUCACAAAAUGGCCGACAAUAAAAUAUAGCUUUGAAUGGACAUUUUUGUGUGUUUUCUGGUGGACUUCUGUUCAGAUUGAUUCAAUGUUUUCUGGUUGCGCUUUCUGGGCAUUUCUUCUCGUUCUUCUUGUCGAGCUGUUCCUCUGAUUGUUGCUCAUUUUUGCCGCCUGCUUGUGUUGCUGCUGCCUUCUGAUUUGGAUGGUGUUUUUCUUUGCUCAUAUAUAUUUUUUUUUAUAAUUGUAGAAAGGAGGAUCUAAUCCUGUUCUUUAGAUAGAGAGAUUAUACAUUAACCCAUAAAUCAAAUGUUCGAGUACUUGCUCAUAUUUACUGCAAUUGUCUUCCUUUUGUUGUUGGUCAUGAAGGUUAUGUUUGGUUUUUGUUCUCAUGGUUUUUUUUUUUGUUUCUUUUGUUUAUUUGUUAUUCUCCUUUCGUUCUCUUGGAUGCUGGUUUUUUUGCUUCCAAGGAAUUUUUAUUCCUUGUUGAUUAAUGAUAUCUUUAUCUUUAAAAAAAAAAAAGAGUUAAAUUUAUUCUCACUGCUAUAUAUAUCCAACAUCAACUACUAUAUAUAUCCAACAUCAAUAAAAUUGUCAAUCUUAUAAUAAUCCAAAAUUUUAAAAUAUAAAAAUAAAUCAAACAAAAAGAGGCACAUGUUAUCAUUAAUUUAUUAAUUUUAUUUAUGUCUUAUCUUCAUAAUAAUGUGCACGAAGGUACACAAAUGCAUAGCACAUAAGGGUUGAUUUCAAGAUGGAAACGAAUAAAACCAAUUUGGUAGAAAAUGUUCAAAUGCAAAAGAACAACAAAAAAUUACAGAGUGCUAUAAAAUACCUAUGCACUUGUUGGAUUUAACAGUCUAUUCCUCUUUAUCCAACAAAUCAAACUUUAGGCCGGAAUCGCCCAACUUUUCUUCAGAAAGUUGUUUCAUGCGAUCAGCCAUUGGUGGGUUUAUGAAAUUCACCCAAUCUCCCACCUUACCAUUCCUAAAAAAUGCUGAAUUCUUAAGCCCAACAUAGCUUUCUCCAGUUAUGUUCACUUCCAAAGUCUUCAAGGUUUCAAAGCGACACAGCUUUGAUAUUUCUUCAACUACUCCUUGUCUAAUUUCCUCCUCCGAGAAAGGGUAGCCCAAGAAAUCAGCCAGCUUCUUCAAGUUGGAAGCAAUAUCCUUCUUCAAAUCUUCAUAUUUCAAAAAUAAGACUUUUUCAGGAUGCUCCAAACUCAUCUUCCAAUACCCUAAAACAUGUUCCCAAAAUGGACCAUAGGCAUGAAUUCCUUUACAAAACCUGUCAAAACCUUCCUCUAUCGAAAAAGGUUUGAAAUCUUCAUUUCUAGGAAAAUUAUCCACAAUAAAGUGCCAAUCCGAGAUGAAUUGGUCGAGAGGGUUCCUGCAAAGAUAAACAAUGCGACAAUUGGAUUUUAGGAUGGAACUAGGCAAUGUACCAUAGGGUGUGUGAGUUGCAAAAAUUCUUGGGCUAGGAAAAUUUUCAUUUUCAAGAUCAGGAGUUUGGUUUUUCGAGUAAAUGUUGAAAUCAAUGAAAGGCACAAGUUCAUGGGGGUUUGCUGUGAGCAAAGGGCUUUGCGUGAGUGGAAAUUGAUUGCGGUUCACAAUGGAGAAGAUGAGAGCCUUCAACCAUGUGGUGCCUGAUUUGGGCGUAGUGAUUAAGAAGAUAUCAGUUUCAUGGGCUUUGACGUGGUUUUGAAAUGCAAUGACUGCCUUGGGUGCAAAGAAUGGGUACCAAAAGCCUUGGUAUUGGUAGAGAGUGGAGCCAACCCAGUCCUUCUCUUGUGGAAGUGUUUGAAUCAAUUCUUCCAUUAGCUUGUCUCCUUCGGUGGAAAUGUUUUUGGAUGCAGUUUUAUCAUCCAUAAGAGCAGAGCAAAUUGAGUGAAUGUUUGCUGAGAAGAAAGCUAGUGAGAAAUGAGUGCCAAAUAUGAUCCAAUGAAUACGCGUAUAUAGACACCAUAAAAAAAUUCAGGCUCCAGAUCUCGAAUUUAAGAAAUCUUCUGGUCAAACCUACCUUGAAAUUUUCGAAACUAAUGAAAAAACAAUAGCAUUCAAAGUUUGCAGCUAUGACUUUUGAGGAAAAAUGUAUAGACACCAUAAGAAUGAUAUAAAUAGAGGCCUAAGAGCCACCUAACCACAUGCCACCGGAGGGCAUGUUCUCAUAGGGGGGAUCAUGGUCCAGUAAUUGAUAAAGAGACAGCAAUUAAUCCACAUGCUCAGUCCCAAAAGAAUCGGGAUAUGGAAGAUCACUUAAGCCCAACUUGUGCAAGUUCAUCGGCGACGGUGUUGGCUUCUCUACGGAUAUGCACCAGCUGCCACGUCUUCACCUCUUGCUUUAAUAAACAACUGGUUGACCACGUUAUUUAAACAGCAUGGGACAUUUAGCGGAUUGUUGCACCGGUUCAUUGCAUUGGUCGAGUCGUUCUCUUCCAACUUGACAUGUGAGGAGCUCCACGUUCCUCAACUCGUGUUUUAUUUUUAUUUUUUUAACAAAAGCUCUUGUUUUACUUUCUUAUUCCAUUUACAAUCUUCCUUGAAUUUAGCAGUAUAAUAUAUUCAACCAUAGUUGUCAUAUCUUCAAUCAUAUUUUGUCUUAGUGAAAUUUUCUAUACUUUAUUUCUUAAUUAAAUUUUUAGAUUUCUUUUUUUUUUUAAUGAUCAAAUUCUUCAAUCCAAGGAUCAAAUGCAUCAUCAUUGAAUCCGACUCUAUCAGCUCAAUGGAAAUGAUCAAGACAGGAUAAAAUCAUACAGUCUUACGUAGUAAAAUAAAAUCUCAAAACAAAUAACAAAUGGUCAUUAGCAUCUUUGGAGAAUGUUUUUCUUUGAUACUUGUUUUAUGACUCAUAUAUUUGACAAAAUUAAUGUCACGACCCAGAACUCCCAUAAGGCCCAUAACAACCGCCGCAAACCUCGACAGACAUUCUUCCCCUGAAUGCCUUUGGGGACCUCGCAAGGCUUUUGUACCAAUUUUUCUAUUCCUCUUUUUUUUUUUUUUCCUUUUUGAAUAAUAAAAUAAAAAUAUUAAUUAAAAAAAUCUAUUUUAAUGUAAAACAAUAUAUACGUAUAUUUUUGAAACAUCAAAAAUUAGUUUUCUGCACAUAAAAACAAAAUAAAUUUAUACAUAUUGUAAUAUAGAAAACUGGAGUAUAUAAUUUUAUAAUGACACGUGGGCCCCCAAAUAACUGAGAAAGUUUAAGUCUAUAACCUUACUUUCUAGGAUGCAACUUCGAAAUUUACUACUCGAUGCAAUUGGCAGUCUAUUGCCUAUUCUGAGCCCGAAAAAUGUAUAAGAAGAAGAGGUGAGAUUGUAAAAUCUCAGUGAGUAGACAGACAUCAUCAAAAUAAUCUAAAGCCGAGUAAUAGGAGACAAUUAAAAUAAUUCAUCCCAACCCAUAUAAAUAAUUGGAUUUCAUCCAAUUACUCAACAUGGCUUAUGCACUUUUCAAAAACUUGGCCCUUGCCAAAAAUUCAUUCUCGGAGAUACCCAGCAAAGGCAUCUUACCGAGACCGCCAAGGCUGUUUAUUGUCACACACACAAACACAUUUCACCUCUGACAACACAGCCGUUCCUCAACGUUGGCUGAGUCCCAGUUUCACGUGGUGGCCAACAUGAAAUGUACUCAAAUCCUACCUCGGGAGUUAUCCUACGCGCCUCUCCAAUCGAGGUAAGCUCAAUAAUUGGGAACCAUGCCCCUCUAAUUAGGCUGGCCCACAGAACCCCCGUCACUGCAGUGCCCACUUUAUAAUCCACCAAUCAAUAAAAUCAUAAUAGUAUGACAUGGCUCACUUAACACAUUCAAGGCAAAUCAAAAAAGUUCAUACAUUCUUUAAAUCAUAAAAAUAACCAGUCAUACUCACAUUUAUCAUAAGCCAUUUAAUGUAAAAUUAUGGAUAAACAACACAAUCAUAGUAUAGGUCUCCAAUUACUCUAUUUUUGAAAUCAUUAUUAAAUUUUCAAAAAUUUUAUAAAAUUAUUUUAUAAAAUCUCAUUUUCCCAUAAAACACAAUAAUUUUCCAAUUAAACCAUUUUUCCAUAAAAUCACACAAUUAAAUAAAUCUACUCUAGAUAAUUAAGACGAUAGUAAGUUUACUCACUGUACUAGGAGUAGAUAUACUCCUAUUCUCGGUCCUCGGGUGUAGUCUUUUACCCGUAUCAGAUAGCUCACCACCUAUCCACAAUACAUGACACAAAAAAUUCAAUAAUUUGUGUCAAAUCAAUAUAUAUUAUUUCAGGCUCUUAUCCAUGCGUAUGCACUAGAUAGGGUGUGAAAUGUUUGGACAAUCGCUUAAUCACAGUGUCCGACCUAACUCGCCUAUACACGGUGUAAAUUUCUAAAAUCUCCAAUUCAACUCCAAGUCCAUCCAUUUCAAUUUCAAUUAUCCAAUUAUAUCCACAAUACCUCAAUGACUAUGAAUGUGGUCCAAUUUAUCAGUUCGGAUCACAAAUUACGCUUUUACCCCUAGUGGGUAAAAAUUUCAAUUUUUUUGCACCAAAAAUUCCCAUUUAAUUUCCAACCUCAUAAUUCAUCAUUUUUCCAUCUAAUUCUCUUAAAAUAAAGUCAACCUCAUCCUCACACACCAUUGGCUAGAUUCGGCCUAGAGAAAUUCAUGGAGAAAAUGAAUAUUUUUCUUGUUGUUUUACUCAUAAACAUGCUAAACUAACACUAAACACUAACAUAGUUCAAAAUCAAAUUAAUCUAACAACUUUCUCUCUCUAAACCCAUAUGAUCAGAUUUGAAUCCAUCAUCAAAACACAUAAUUUAACCAUGGAAAAUAAGGAGAAAUGCAUGGAAAUGAUAAAUCUUAAGCUAAGCUUGAAAAAUCAUACCUUUAAACACUUGAUUCCUUGAAAAAUCACACUUUUUCUUUGAAUUUUCUCACUCUAGGGUUUGUUCUUAUUUCUCUCUCUCUCUCCUGCUGGUUUUGGCUGACCCUCCCAAUAAAGAAUUCUGGAAUUUUCAAGCCUCUUAAUAGGCUUAAUAAAAUAUUAUUAUUUUAUUUACCUUUUGAAUAUUUUUUUUUUCUAGCCAUUUUUUUUACUUUCUUUUUCUACCACUCAAUCCUCUUCACUUAUCCAUGUCUUCCAUGAAAUUUCUAGACUUUUCCAAAGUUUUGGUGGAGCAAAUUUUUAAAAAUUACACUUUUACCCCAUAAUGUGAAAAAUUACAUUUUUACCCCAAAAAUUGAAAAAUUUCCCAUAGAUAUAUUUUUCAUCCCUUAUACUCAUACCAUUCUCCAAUUUGUCAAAUGUGAGCUAAAUUCUCUCAAAAUCUCAAAUUUUGUCCGCAAGUGAAAAAAUUACGAUUUUGCCCUUAGAUAGUGAAAAUUUCGGUUUGACUCCGAAUUGAUCCUCGAACUCCGAAUUACCAUUUUGAGUCACCCCUGAACUGUGAAACUCUUAAUUUCACCUUAAAAUUCCUAUUUGAACUAGUUCGAGGCUUAAUUGACUCAAUGGUACCAUUAUGGGCAAUAUCGUCUUUUAAUGAUUUCUCGAACUUUCAAAAUAUACAAACAUUCUAUCGAGCAUGUGAAUAACAUUAUAAUUAUUUUACAAAGCAGAGUUUGACAAUUAAUGUAUUUACCCUAAAUAUAGCCAUUUAAAUCUUGUGUGUCAAUCUGCUUGUAUUUCCAUUUCAUCAGCCAACCUCUACCACAAUUAAAUGAGGAAUCCUGAAUGUGGCAGUGUACUAAUGAGACAACUCCUGCCCAUACAUUCUGAAAUGAGAAGUGAAAGUAGUGUUGGAAAAUAAUGUAUUUUAUAAGGUUCAAACAUCCCACAUUGCCAAAAUAUAUAAAAGGUGAAUGCCUUAUAUUAGGAAACCAACUAUGGACUUGUUGCAAGCAAGAAAAAUAGAGUGGGCUCGCGCGCACACAAAAUUGGGCCAAACCUUUAGAAACUUCAGAUUCCCUCUCCUUGCAAGCGAGUAUACACGUGGGUUGUGCCCAAGUGACUUUUUGUACCUGGACUUUAUUUUUUUGAACUUUUUCAGCCUUUGAUUAAAUCAAAGUCCAACUCUACCAUACUUACCUAAUUCUUCUAGUUUUCCUCAAUGUUUAUCCUAGUUUUGCUCCAACGUGUAUCUGACUUGGUAUAAAUGUUGACCAAUUUUUCCUCAACUCCCUGAUCUGGUGCAACGUUCACCUCACUCCAUGUUUAUAAAUACAACCUCACACCCUCACUCACAAGACACACCAAAGCUUUUCUUCUCUUAAGCUUUCUCUGUUGGGUUUUCUUCUUUUUUUUUUUCUGCUGUUCUUGUCAUCCCUUAAUAGUUUGUGCAAACUAUAAGGAAGGGUCUGUUGAAUCCUGGAGGAUAACCGCUACAGUCCUUUUGCAUCGAGUUUUAUACUCCGAAAGGGCAAAAAUUAUCCUUAAGGACAGUGAUACCAUGCCUCAGACCAAUUACUGCUUUUACUAGUUUUAUAUUCCUUUAUUUCUAAUAUUUUUCUAACAUUCUUAAGGAUAAUAGAUUCCCACGUUAAUAAUGUUGCUGCCACUGUUCCUAAUGCUGCCUCUGUCUCUACUGCCACCACCACUGUCAACGGUUCCCCCAUAGCUCCCACUCCGAUGAUCAUUCCUCCUAUGCCCUCGACUUCAUAUGCGAAACCAUUUCUAGAUAUUUCCAAAAUAGAAGUCUUUGAUGGCAGAAACUUCAAAAAGUGGCAAGAAAGGAUUUUUUCAAUCCCUGAUGUUCAUGGGGUUGCUUUUGCACUAAUUUAUUUCAAGCCAGAUGAAGUCAAGAUGCUGGAACCAUGGAUGCAUGCAAAUAAGGUAUGCAGGCAUGCAAUCAUUAGCACAUUUUCUAAUGAGUUGUUUGAUGUAUACAGCCCUUACAAAGAAACAAAGCAAAUAUGAGAGUCAAUGAUAGCCAAAUACACUGCUGAAGAUGUUGGGAAACAGAAGUUCGUGAUUGGCAACUUUUAUUGCUGGAAGAUGACAGAUGACAAGGACAUCAAGAGUCAAAUCAAUAAAUACCACAAGCUGGUGGAUGGUUUGAAGGUUGAAAAAAUCAACUUGCAAGAAGAGUUCGUUGAUGGGUUGUUGAUUGAGAAGCUAACAGAAUCCUGGAAUGGAUACAAGCAACAACUGAAGCACAAGGAAAAGCAGUUGUCACUUGCAGAUUUGAUUGUGCACAUCAUUAUUGAAGACACAACUCGCAGGGAGAUUAAGGCCUCCAAAGCUAAGGAAAUUGCAACUAAAGCCAAUCUGGUGCAAGGCAAAACCAAGCGCCAACAAAGGUACCCUUACAAACCUGAUCAUAAACCCAAAGCUCCUCAUCUCACCUUUAAAAAGAAGGGUAGUUGUUUUGUCUGUGGAAAGUCAGGGCAUCAUGCAGCACAAUGCAGGAAAAUAGCAAAGGGAAAUGACAAACCUGCUAAUCCAAGAGUCAACUUGGUCAAAGUAGAUGAAUCUGACGAUGUAAUUGCUGCGGUCAUUUCACAAGCAAAUAUGGUUGCCAGUGUGAAGGAAUGGGUGGUAGACUCAGGUGCUACCAAGCAUAUUUGUGCAAACAGAAAUGCCUUUACCUCCUAUACUCCUAUAGGGGAAGGAGAAGAGACAAUUUACCCCAGUGAUUCUCGAACUGCUCAAGUUCUUGGUAAAGGGAAAGUCCUUCUCAAGCUCACAUCUAACAAGACCCUAGCUCUAAAUGAUGUUCUUCAUGUUCCCAAUAUAAGGGCAAACCUGGUAUCUAUGGCCUUAUUAGGCAAGGUUGGGGUGAAAGUGUCAUUCGAAUCUGACAAGAUAGUGAUGACCAAAAAUAAUGUGUUUGUGGGUAAGGGUUAUUGCAAUCAAGGACUCUUUGUACUUAAUAUUUCCAAUGUUUGGAAUGAAAAUGACAAUUCUUUCACUUACAUGAUUGACUCUGAUGAUUUAUGGCAUGGUAGACUAGGACAUGUUAGUAUUCCCUAUAUUAAGAAAAUGCAAUCACUAGGAUUAAUUUCUAAUAUUAAAAAUGGAUGCUUUAAUAAAUGUGAAAUAUGUGUUGAAACGAAAUCAACUAAGAAAAAUUGUAUUUCAGUAAAUAGAGAAUCUGAAUUAUUAAGUUUAAUUCAUACAGACUUAGGAGAUCUAAAACAAACUGUGACUAGAUGAGGUAAGCAAUACUAUGUUACAUUUAUUGACGAUUAUUCUAGAUUUACUAAAGUUUAUUUACUUAGGCAUAAAGAUGAAGCUUUUGACAUGUUUAUUAAAUAUAAAGCUGAGGUAGAAAAUCAAUUGAAUAAAAAGAUAAAAAGAGUUAGAUCAGAUAGAGGGGGUGAAUAUAUACCGAUUAAUGAUAUUUGUGAAAAAGAAUGAAUAAUUCAUGAAAUUACUCCUCCAUAUUCUCCUGAAUCAAAUGGUGUAGCUUAAAGAAAAAAUAGAACAUUAAAAGAAAUGAAGAACUCUAUGCUUGUUACUUCCAAUGCACGUGAAAAUUUGUGGGGUGAAGCUUUAUUAUCUACAUGUCAUAUUCAAAAUAGAAUACCUUAUAAGAAAACUGGUAAGACACCUUAUGAAUUAUGGAAAGGUUAUUCUCCUAAUUUAAAAUAUUUAAAAGUAUGGGGGUGUCUAGCUAAGGUAAUGCUUCUUGAAUUUAAGAAGAGAAAAAUUGGUUCUAAAACAUCUGAUUGCAUGUUUAUUGGUUAUGCUGAACAUAGUGUUGCAUAUAGGUUUCUUGUAUUAAAAAGUGAUGUUAUUGAUUGUAAUACAAUUGUUGAAACAAAGAAUGCUGAAUUUUUUGAACUUAUUUUUCUAUUAAGAAUUGAUACAAUUUCUCAUACACCCUUUAGUAAAAAUGAUUUUGAAAUACAAAAUGAUGAUUUGAGAAGGAGUAAAAGACCAAGGAAGGAAAUUUCUUUUGGUAAUGAUUUUUGUACUUAUCUUGUAGAUAAUGAUCCUUUGACUUAUGUUGAUGCAAUUUCUUCUAAAGAAAGUUUAUUUUGGAAAGAAGCCAUACAAAAUGAGAUUGAUUCGAUUUUACAAAAUCAAACUUGGGAAUUAGUUGAUUUACCACCUGGAGCCAAACCAAUUGGUUGCAAAUGGAUUUUUAAAAGGAAAAUUAAUUCUAAUGGUUCUAUUGAUAAAUAUAAAGCUAGAUUAGUUACAAAGGGUUUUACUCAAAAACCAAACAUUGACUAUUUUGAUACUUUUUCUCUAGUAACAAGAAUUGCAUCAAUUCGUGUUUUAUCUACCUUAGCUUCAAUUUACAAACUUAUUGUUCAUCAAAUGGAUGUAAAAACUGCUUUUUUAAAUGGUGAUUUAGAAGAAGAAAUUUAUAUGACACAACCUGAGGGAUGUAUUCUUCCUAAUCAAGAAAACAAAGUUUGUAAAUUAAUUAAAUCAUUAUAUGGUUUGAAAUAAGCACCAAAACAAUGGCAUGAGAAAUUUGAUCAAAUUCUUGUUAGUAAUGGAUUUUCUACUGUUAGAGUUGAUAAAUGUCUGUACACAAAAAUUGUUGAUAGUGGAUGUGUGAUUAGUAGCUUAUAUGUUGAUGAUAUGCUUAUUUUUGGUACAAGCAUUGAUGUGGUUAAUAAAACAAAAUGUUUUUUGACUUCUAAAUUUGACAUGAAAGAUUUGGCAGAAGCCAAAGUUAUUUUGGGUUUUAAAAUCAUAAGAUGUGAUAGUGGCUUAAUGCUAACACAAGGGCAUUAUGUUGAGAGGCUACUUAAAAGGUUUAGACAUUUUGAUGUCACACCUGUGAGUACUCCUUAUGAUAGUAAUAUCCAAUUAAAGAAAAAUAGAGGUGAUAGUGUAGCUUAGUCUGAGUAUGCACAAAUUAUUGGGAGUCUGAUACAUUUGAUGAAUUAUACUCGACCAAAUAUAGCUUAUGUUGUAUGUAGACUGAGCAGAUAUACACAAAGUCCUAAUAGAGAUCAUUGGACUGCCUUGAGUAGGGUGAUGAAAUAUUUGAAAGGUACCAUAAACUAUGGUAUUUUAUAUAAUGGAUUUCCCACUGUAUUAGAAGGAUACAGUAAUGCUAACUGGAUCUCAAAUUCAGAUGAGACGAAAUCUACAAGUGGUUAUGUAUCCACCCUUGGUGGGGGUGCUAUAACUUAGAAAUCAGCCAAACAAACAAUAAUUGCUAAAUCUACAAUGGAGUCAGAAUUUGUAGCUUUAGAGUUGGCUGGUAAUGAGGCUGAGUGGUUGAGAAACCUCUUACCAGAUAUUCCAUUGGGAAUGAAACCAACACCUUCUGUGUCCAUGCAUUGUGAUUACUAAGCGGCAAUAACCAUUGCAAAGAAUAAAACUUUCAAUGGUAAAAAUAGACACAUUCGUUUGAGACAUGAUAUAGUAAAGCAGCUGCUUAGAGAUGGAAUUAUAUCCAUUAAUUAUGUGAAGUCAGAGCUGAAUUUGGCAGAUCCUCUGACUAAACCCCUGGAAAGAAAAUUAAUUAAUGCUACAUCGAGGGGAAUGGGAUUUAAGCCAAAUGAGAAAAUCAACAAAUAGUAAUAACCCAACCUAUGUGAUUGGAAAUCCCAUGAAUUAGGUUCAUAUGGGUAAUAACAAGUUAUUUGUUGAUAAAUUAAUGUACUAUUGAAAUUAUUGUCCCUCUUAUGGUGUGUAAGUAGUGCAAAACUGUAAUGUAAGAAAGGUUGAGUUAAACUCUUAAUGCAUUCCAUAUUCCUUAUGGGUAGUGUAUUAUACUGUAGUAUACACUUGAUGGAAUCAACCUAUAUAAGUGUGGAGUGGGGCCGCUUCUAUGAGAAUUAUGGCAAAUUCUCUAGAGCACUUAUGAAUAACCAGGCACGCGCAUGGCCUAUUCUCGCAAAACCGCGUUGAACAGCAAAAAUUGUGGAGAUGUAAUGUGAUUGAUGAAAACUAUAUUUCACAUAAAGAAUUUUGGUUCAUAUAAGUUACAAACUUAACCAAAAUUCUGUGACUUAUAUUUCAUUCUUUCUAUGGGUGGUUCAUAGCUUAAAAGGCAUCAGUCACGAUACAUUACACUCAAAUGAAAUUUGACCCAGUAAAACUUCUUAUAAAACUUUAUGAAAUAUGUGGGGGAUUGUUGAAAAAUAAUGUAUUUUAUAAGGUUCAAACAUCCCAUAUUGCCAAAAUACAUAAAAGGUGAAUGCCUUAUAUUGAGAAACCAACUAUGGGCUUGUUGCAAGCAAGGAAAAUGGAGUGGACUCGCGCGUACACCAAAUUGGGCCAAACCUUUAGAAACUUCAGAUUCCCUCCCUGCUCACGAAUAUACACGUGGGCUGUGCCCAAAUGACUUUUUGUACCUUGACUUUAUUUUUUUAAGCUUUUUCAGCCUUUGAUUAAAUCAAAGUCUAACUCUACCAUGCUUACCUAAUUCUCUUGGUUUUCCUCAAUGUUUAUCCUGGUUUUGCUCCAACGUGUAUUUGACUUGGUAUAAAUGUUGACCAGGUUUUUCUCAACUUCCUGAUCUGGUGCAACGUUCACCUUAUUUGGUGCAACGUUCACCUCACUCCAUGCUUAUAAAUACAGCCUCACACCCUCACUCACAGGACACACCAAAGCUUUUCUUCUCUUAAGCUUUCUCUGUUGGGUUUUCUUCUUUUUUUUUUCUUUCUGCUGUUCCUGUCAUCCCUUAAUAGUUUGUGCAAACUAUAAGGAAGAGUCUAUUGAAUCCUGGAGGAUAACCGCUACAGUCAUUUUACACCGAGUUUUAUACUCCGAAGAGGCAAAAAUUAUCCCUAAGGAUAGUGAUACCACGCCUCAAACCAAUUACUGCUUUUACUAGUUUUAUAUUCCUUUGUUUCUAAUAUUUUUCUAACAAGUAGGAGUAGCUAAUCACCAAGUAGCCAACAACAAAAAUAUUGCUUUGAACGACAUUUUCAACAAUAAUAAAAGAAGAAAGUUUUUUAAUUAUUUAAGAGUGAAAGUCCAACAAGACAAACUGGAUGGGAAUAUUCAUUACUCGUUUUGAAAUCCGAGGUUAUUGGAUGCAAGUAGAGCCCCAAGUGUUUUUCUUUGAUGCUUGUUUUAUGACUCAUAUAUUUGCCAAUAUUAAUGUAAUUUAUCCUAAAUAUACCCAUUUAAAUCUUGAGUGUCAACCUACUUACAUUUCCAUCAGGCCUAGUCUCCUGAAAAUUGAAGGCAAUUUAUUCACUUAUAAAAUUCAAUGAUGCAGCAGCACAUAAUUACAGGGCAUAAAUUAGGUAUUGGAAGAGGACACCUGAGACCCCAUCCUCCCUUGACAAGAAACCCCCAGAGCUACUCUAACUUCACUUUGAUACAGACCGUUCUAGCAGUCAACCACACACCAUGGAACCAAUCCUAGUUACGACAAGCCAUACUGAACGGUCCCCAGAUUCCUGUGGGCAGCGACUGCCACAACUGCAGCACCAACUGCACCAAACUGGGAUUGUGCCUGCAUAAGUUUUGUAUCAAUGGGUAAUCUAUCAUUUAACUGCUCAGCCUUGGCUCGCGGUUGGUAAUAGGGGUUGCUGUUGAUGUCAAUAACCAUCCCAGGGGGUGGUUUUGCAGCCAUGCUAGGCUGCAGUUUGGCUUGUGGAUCCCUACCCGCCUGUAUUCCAGAUUUCUCUUGAUUUGUGGUGCUAGUCCUCAGGAAACAAUGUGGGGAGACAUUCUGUGGAGGAAGGACUGCAUUUCUGUAUAAGAUCUUUGCAUUGUACCCAUCUUUAACAUUUUUCCCAUUCUCAUAUGGUAUGACAGAUCCAACAACUCUCCCAGGUUUUGCUGUACAAAGCAAAAGGAGAACAGAAUCCUGGAUCAGCUAAUGUCGAAGCAACAAAGGGACAUGCAUUGCUAUAAUCGAUAACAAGUCUACUCAGUGCAGACCUAAGCAAAAUGAGCAAAAGUAUUUUUAACAUUUAAAGCCAGAGACCUGAGGAAUAAGUGUCUUCAGUAAUGUGAAACUCAUUUAAAGAGAUUCAGUUCCAAUUUUUAAUGGCCACCAAACCCACAUAUGGCAGAUAUAGACAGGGAGGCCAGAGAAACCACAUGCAAUGGGGAUAUUUGUACGACAAAUGUUGCUUGACCAAAAGAAAGCUGAGGUAAAAGAACAGACAUUGCCCUCUCACCUAGAGAAUUCGUUGAGAACUUAUCUUUUCAAAUUUUACGAGGAAAUCUUAUCAUUGAGAUCAUUGGCGUGUCAAUGGAGUGCAAGUUCAUAAUUAAUUAUUACAAUUGACAACCUUUUAUCGAUGUCAUUUCUAAGAUCCUCUCAUCAUUUUGAUAAAAUUCGAAAAUAUCAUCUCACCUAAAAAAUUAUCCAAUAAAACUUAUCCUUACAAGUUUCUUGAAUAAAUCACAUCAUCGGGAUUGGCAAUCUUGUACAAAAUAAAGGUUGUUGGGCAUGAUACAUAUUAUAAUUUGUUAAAUACAAAUCAAAAUCUUGUAUUGAAAACGUUUCUCAGAUCCUCUCAUCCUUCUGGUACAAUUUGGGAUCAAAUUCUCACCUAGAGAAUUUCUUAGGAAAACUUAUCUUUACAAUCUUUCUCAAAAAGAUCUCAUCAUCAGAAUCUUGAUUCGCAUGCAGGAUAUAAAAUCAAAAUGAAUGGAAUGACAAUUUUAAAAAAAUGUAAUGAUGAUGGCACAUAAUAAUCUAGCUAUUAUUUUUACUAUUCUUUUUUGGCAAAGUUAAAAUAUUAUUUUCUAUUAUUAUAUUAUUAUUAUUAUUCUAUUGUUUACUUAUUAUUAUUUUUUACAUUAUCUUGUGUAUUUCCAAUAGUGAUGAAUAAAACCUAAAUAUCCUAUCAUGUUAUUUUUAUAAAAAUAUAAAUAUUCAAUAUUUUUAAGGCAUCAACAUGAUUUAUAAAUAUCUUACGCUAAACUAUAUCUAUUUAUUUAUUUAUUUACUUUUUUUUGCAUAUCCAUAUUAUUUUAACACACAUUAUUUCAUGUGAUUAAAUAUGAUAUUUUGUUCAUAUAUUUUUUAGAAAAUAAAAAUAUUAUUGCAUGAUUACUAAACAAACAAACAAAAAUCAAAGAGAAAACAUAAACUAACGAAAACGAAGCCCAAUAGCAAGUCAAACCAAUAUUCAAAGGGAGGUCCAUUACGUUAGAUUGUUUGCAUUCUUUCCAGGGCUUGGCUUUCGGUUUGUACCCAAAGAAAAACUUCCAUGGACCACAACGAAGUCCAAUAAGCCGCACUAGAUGGAAAUAUUUCAUUAGGUUAUUGAAUACCUUCACCUGUGUCCAUUCCACGUAUAAGAAAUGUUUCUUUUCAGACACUAGAAGCAGCCCCAAGUGUUUUUCUUUGAUGCUUGUUUUAUGACUCAUAUAUUUGACAAAAUUAACGUAUAUACCGUAAAUAUAAUUUUUUUUUUUUUAUAAUUAGGAAAGAAGAAUUUGAACUCUACUCUUUAGACAAAUAGAUCAUAUACCAAUCAAUGAAUUAAAUGUUCGAGUGCACCUAAAUAUAGCCAUUUAAAUCUUGUGUGUUAAUCUGCUUGUAUUUCCAUUACAUCAGCCAGCCUCUUCCACAAUUAAAUGAGGAAUCUUGAAUGUGAAAGUGUACUAAUGAGACAAUUCCGGCUCAUAUAUUCUGACAUGGAAAGUGAAAGUAGGAGUAACUAAUCACAAAAUAGCCCACAAUAAAAUAUUACUUUGAAUGGACAUUUUUGUGUGUUUUCUGGUGAACUCCUGUUCAGAUUGAUUCAAUGUUUUCUGGUUGCGGUUUCUGGGCAUUUCUUCUCGUUCUUCUUGCUGGGCUGUUCCUCUUAUUGUUGCUCAUUUUUGCCGCCUGCUUGUGUUGCCGCUGCCUUUUGAUUUGGAUGGUGUUUUUCUUUGCUCAUAUUUUUUUUUAUAAUUGUGGAAAGGAAAAUUUGAAUCUUGUUCUUUAAAUAGAAAAAUUAUUCAUCAACCAAUAAAUCAAAUAUUCGAGUGCUUGUUCAUAUUUAUUAAUGAUAUCUUUAUCUUUCAAAAAAAAGUUAAAUUUAUCUCACUACUAUAUAUAUCCAGCAUAAAUAAAAUUGUCAAUUUUAUAAUAAUCCAAAAUUGUAAAACAUAAAAAAAAAUCAAACAAAAAGAGGCACAUGUUAUCAUUAAUCUAUUUUAUUUAUGUCUUAUCUCCGUAAUAAUGUGCACGAAGGUACACAAAUGCAUAGCACAUAAGGGUUGAUUUCAAGAUGGAAAGGAAUAACACCAAUUCGGUAGAAAAUGUUUAAAUGCAAAAGAACAACGACAGAUUAAAGAGUGCUACAAAAUUCCUAUGCACUUGUUGGAUUUAACAGUCUAUUCCAUUUUAUCCAACAAAUCAAACUUUAGGCCGGAAUCGCCCAACUUUUCUUCAGAAAGUUGUUUCAUGCGAUCAGCCAUUAGUGGGCUUAUGAAAUUCACCCAAUCUCCCACCUUACCAUUCCUAAAAAAUGCUGAAUUCUUAAGCCCAUCAGGCCUUUCUCCAGUCAUGUUCACUUCCACAGUCUUCAAGGUUUCAAAGCUACACAGCUUUGAUAUUUCUUCAACAACUCCUUGUCUAAUUUCCUCCUCCGAGAAACGGUAGCCUAAGAAAUCAGCCAGCUUCAUCAAGUUGGAAGUAAUAUCCUUCUUCAAAUCUUCAUAUUUCAAAAACAAGACUUUUUCAGGAUGCUCCAAACUCAUCUUCCAAUACCCUAAAACAUGUUCCCAAAAUGGACCAAAGGCAUGAAUUCCUUUACAAAACCUGUCAAAACCUUCCUCUAUUGAAAAAGGUUUGAAAUCU
rnacentral:lncRNA from 1 species